AGUCGGACCUGCCCGGUGAAAAUUUUUAACGGCCGCGGUACUCUGACCGUGCAAAGGUAGCAUAAUCAUUUGCCUUAUAAUUGAAGGCUAGUAUGAAUGGUUUGACAAGAAUAUAGCUGUCUCUUUACGAUUUGGUAGAAUUUUAUUUUUAGGUGAAAAAGCCUUGAUUGAAUUAAAAGACAAGAAGACCCUAUCGAGCUUUAAAAGAAUUAAUAGAUGUAGGUUUUCUAUUUUUAGAAAGUAUGGCUAUCAUAUAUUUUGGUUGGGGCGACUGAGGAACAUAUAAAGCUUCCUUUGAAAAAUGAAUUACGUACGGGUGUUGAUCCGCAGUUAGUGAUUAAAGAAAUUAGUUACCGUAGGGAUAACAGCAUUAUCCUUUUUGAGAGCUCUAAUCGAAAAAGGGGUUUGUGACCUCGAUGUUGGACCAGAAUGUCCUAAAGAUGCAGAAGUCUUUGAGGGUUGGUCUGUUCGACCAUUAAAAUUCUA
rnacentral:rRNA from 1 species